rnacentral:rRNA from 1 species
AUUGAACGCUGGCGGCAGGCCUAACACAUGCAAGUCGAACGAGUGGCAGACGGGUGAGUAAUGUCUGGGAAACUGCCCGAUGGGGGGGGAUAACUACUGGAAACGGUAGCUAAUACCGCAUACCAUCGGAUGUGCCCAGAUGGGAUGAGCUAGUAGGUGGGGUAACGGCUCACCUGGGGGACGAUCCCUAGCUGGUCGGAGAGGAUGAGUAGCCACACUGGAACUGUGACACGGUCCGGAUGCCUACGGAGGGCAGCAGUGGGGAAUAUUGCACAAUGGGCGCAAGCCUGAUGCAGCCAUGCCGCGUGUAUGAAGAGGGCCUUGGGGUUGUAAAGUACUUUCAGCGAGGAGGCGUUACUCGCAGAAGAAGCACCGGCUAACUCCGUGCCAGCAGCCGCGGUAAUUC